UGACCUAUGAAAGGAAAUGGCUGUUAGUUCAAUAGUUUUACAGAUCAAUAACAGGUCAGUGCUGGAGGCAACUGUGAGGUUACGACUGUGACGGCAAGGUCAAAAUCUUCACUGUCGCUUGACAUGCUUUCUGUCACGGAAAUGUAGAGGUGAAGAUGGGGCGAGUGGAAUGAGCCUGCUGCAUGUAACCUGACAUUUUUAAAUAGAAGCCAUGGUGGUCUCCAGUCAAAUCGAACAGAAGUGUCAUCACAUUGUAGACAUCCAACUCAAAUCAAGCCGACUGACGGGCAAUGAAAACACAUGUAUGUGUACGCUUCACUGAACUGAACGCAUGAACAUACAUUGAGGUUAAAAAGCACCAGAAGGCACCUACCCACAAGAAGCUUGGAUAACCAUCAAAACAGUGGUCUUGAUAGUCUUUGACAUCACCUGCUUUCUCUCUCUGUCAUGGAUGAUGGUUAAAAUGGUGAAAUGGGUGACUGGCAUCAUCACGAGAACUGAAUGACAGGGUGAGCGAAGGACACACAUGCAAGGAAAGAAGUCGAGAUGAAGAGAUGAGGCUCCAGGAAAGCAACCAGAAUGAAUGUGAGAAGAAACAAAAUGAGAAAAAAAAAUGCCAUGGAAUGUGAAGGACAGUUGAAAAAGAGUCAUGCAGACAAACGGAUGUAGUUUUGAUGAUCAAAUGGCCUGAUUUUUAGUUUAGUUUAGUUCCAUAUCUGUUCCAAUGUUAUAAACAUAAAUGCAUUCACACUCAAUUCAAAUCAGUGUGAAUUUGAAUUCAUUCAGUGGACAUAGAUAGAAAUUACCGUAUUUCUCAAAUUUGUUUAUAAGAAUGCUACAUUAAACAGGUAAGUUAUCUGGUGUU